GACGAACGCUGGCGGCGUGCUUAACACAUGCAAGUCGAACGGAAAGGCCCUGCUUUUGUGGGGUUCUCGAGUGGCGAACGGGUGAGUAACACGUGAGUAACCUGCCCUUGACUUUGGGAUAACUUCAGGAAACUGGGGCUAAUACAGGAUAGGAGCUCCUGCUGCAUGGUGGGGGUUGGAAAGUUUCGGCGGUUGGGGAUGGACUCGCGGCUUACGGGCUUGUUGGGGGGGUAGUGGCUUACCAAGGCUUUGACGGGUAGCCGGCCUGGGAGGGUGACCGGCCACAUUGGGACUGAGAUACGGCCCAGACGCCUACGGGAGGCAGCAGUGGGGAAUAUUGCACAAUGGGCGGAAGCCUGAUGCAGCAACGCCGCGUGCGGGAUGACGGCCUUCGGGUUGUAAACCGCUUUCGCCUGUGACGAAGCGUGAGUGACGGUAAUGGGUAAAGAAGCACCGGCUAACUACGUG
rnacentral:rRNA from 1 species